rnacentral:rRNA from 1 species
UACGUAGGGUGCGAGCGUUAAUCGGAAUUACUGGGCGUAAAGCGUGCGCAGGCGGUUUUGUAAGACAGGUGUGAAAUCCCUGGGCUCAACCUAGGAAUUGCGCUUGUGACUGGCGGGCUCGAGUACGGUAGAGGGGGGUGGAAUUCCUGGUGUAGCAGUGAAAUGCGUAGAGAUCAGGAGGAACACCGAUGGCGAAGGCAGCCCCCUGGGCCUGUACUGACGCUCAUGCACGAAAGCGUGGGGAGCAAACAGG